GACGAACGCUGGCGGCGUGCUUAACACAUGCAAGUCGAACGGAAAGGCCUAGCUUGCUGGGUACUCGAGUGGCGAACGGGUGAGUAACACGUGGGUGAUCUGCCCCUGACUUUGGGAUAAGCCUGGGAAACUGGGUCUAAUACCGGAUAUUCAUUUUUCCUCGCAUGGGGAUUUGUGGAAAGCUUUUGCGGUUGGGGAUGGGCCCGCGGCCUAUCAGCUUGUUGGUGGGGUAAUGGCCUAUCAAGGCGACGACGGGUAGCCGACCUGAGAGGGUGAUCGGCCACACUGGGACUGAGACACGGCCCAGACUCCUACGGGAGGCAGCAGUGGGGAAUAUUGCACAAUGGGCGCAAGCCUGAUGCAGCGACGCCGCGUGAGGGAUGACGGCCUUCGGGUUGUAAACCUCUUUUAGCUCCGACGAAGCGCAAGUGACGGUAGGAGCAGAAGAAGCACCGGCCAACUACGUG
rnacentral:rRNA from 1 species